rnacentral:rRNA from 1 species
AGCGAACGCUGGCGGCAGGCUUAACACAUGCAAGUCGAACGCAUCCUUCGGGGUGAGUGGCAGACGGGUGAGUAACACGUGGGAACGUACCUUUUUGUUCGGAAUAACUCAGGGAAACUUGAGCUAAUACCGGAUACGCCCUUAGGGGGAAAGAUUUAUCGCAGAAAGAUCGGCCCGCGUCUGAUUAGCUAGUUGGUGAGGUAAAGGCUCACCAAGGCGACGAUCAGUAGCUGGUCUGAGAGGAUGAUCAGCCACACUGGGACUGAGACACGGCCCAGACUCCUACGGGAGGCAGCAGUGGGGAAUAUUGGACAAUGGGCGCAAGCCUGAUCCAGCCAUGCCGCGUGAGUGAUGAAGGCCCUAGGGUUGUAAAGCUCUUUCGGCGGGGACGAUAAUGACGGUACCCGCAGAAGAAGCCCCGGCUAACUUCGUGCCGGCCGCCGCGGUAACAC